rnacentral:rRNA from 1 species
CUACGGGCUGCUCCAGUGGGGAAUUUUGCGCAAUGGGGGAAACCCUGACGCAGCAAUACCGCGUGAGUGAAGAAGGCCUUUGGGUCGUAAAGCUCUUUUCUUGGGGAAGAUAGUGACGGUACCCAAGGAAUAAGCACCGGCUAACUCCGUGCCAGGAGCCGCGGUAAUACGGAGGGUGCAAGCGUUGUUCGGAUUUACUGGGCGUAAAGGGCACGUAGGCGGCACAGCAAGUUAAGGGUGAAAUCCCGGGGCUCAACUCCGGAACUGCUCUUAAAACUGCUGAGCUAGAGAUAGUCAGAGGCGGGUGGAAUUCCAGGUGUAGAGGUGAAAUUCGAAGAUAUCUGGAGGAACACCGGUGGCGAAGGCGGCCCGCUGGGGCUAUUCUGACGCUAAGGUGCGAAAGCGUGGGGAGCAAACGGGAUUAGAUACCCGAGUAGUC